rnacentral:sRNA from 1 species
GCUGGGCAUGGUGGCGCGUGCCUCUAAUCCCAGCUACUCAGGAGGCUGAGGCAGGAGAAUUGCUUGAACCCAGGAGGCGGAGGUUGCAGUGAGCCGAGAUUGUGCCACUGCACUCCAGUCUGGUGGCUGGCGACGGAGUGAGACUCUGUCUCAAAAAAAAAAAAAAAAAUUUUUUUUUUUUCUUUGUUUUGAGACGGAAUUUUGCUCUUGUUGUCCAGGCUGGAGUGCAGUGGCACGAUCUCUGCUCACGGCAGCCUCUGCCUCCCGCGAACAAGCGAGUCUCCUGCCUCAG